GUGAGUCAUCGAAUCUUUGAACGCACAUUGCGCCCCUUGGUAUUCCAUGGGGCAUGCCUGUUCGAGCGUCAUUUUGCACCUCAAGCUCUGCUUGGUGUUGGGUGUUUGUCCUGUCCAAGGACUCGCCUCAAAGCAAUUGGCAGCCGGCGUACUUGUCGCGGAGCGCAGCACAAUCUUGCGUCUCCCGCCUGCGCGUCAGCGUCCAUGAAGCCCAUUUUUACUCUUUGACCUCGGAUCAGGUAGGGAUACCCGCUGAACUUAAGCAUAUCAAUAAGCGGAGGA
rnacentral:misc_RNA from 1 species